AGGUGAGAGAAAGAACCUCCUUCAACUCUUAUGUGGACCUUAUUCCUAUUAGCACAGCAUUACGACAGAAGGGGACAAUAUGAAAUCGCUCUUUCUAAAAUUGAUGAGGCCAUUGAGCACACCCCAACCGCGAUUGAUUUAUACUCGGGCAA